UCAGUUCUUGUGAGCGGAAGAGCAAAUGCAUGUGGAUCAGGUUGAACUCCCAUGGCUAUCAGUGGAAGUGCUGGACAGAGAACAAAUGCAGAAUAUGCUAUGGAUCUGCAGUAGAGCUCAGAUAAGAUGCUUUUAAAAGCCCAUGAUGCUUAUAUGUCUGCAUGUAUACAUAUUCAAGCCUACCUGGAAUCUUAGGAAUCUCGAGUACUGCCAAGUUAAACCCCAGACUGCAUGGCUGGUUUAUAAAGAGCUCCAGGAGCUCGGCAACAACAAUACAGUGAUGCAAAGGACCCAAC